rnacentral:rRNA from 1 species
UACGAAGGGGGCUAGCGUUUGUUCGGAUUCAUUGGGCGUAAAGGGUGCGUAGGCGGCGCGGUAAGUCGGGUGUGAAAUCUUGGAGCUUAACUCCGAAACUGCAUUCGAUACUGCCGUGCUUGAGGACUGGAGAGGAGACUGGAAUUUACGGUGUAGCGGUGAAAUGCGUAGAUAUCGUAAGGAAGACCAGUGGCGGAAGGCGGGUCUCUGGACAGUUCCUGACGCUGAGGCACGAAGGCCAGGGGAGCAAACGGG